GCCACAUGAUGAUGCAAUGGCAACGGUGAGCUCUCAUUGGCUGGGGUGUGUGUUCUCUGGCAAGCUGACCCCUCUGAUGACCCUGGCUGGUAAUCUUGGCUGACGGGGCGCAGUCUUGCUCCUCAGCUGUAAGGGCGAGCCGACAGGAACUUGCACCCCUUUUCCCAAACUCACAGGGGUCCAGAGGAGUGGACCUUCUGACUGGAGGGAGGUGCGAACACGAGGGCCGAGAGAGGGGGCAAGGAGGGCACUGCCAGAGAGCAGCACCUCCCCAUGUUGAACCUCCAAUGAGGCAUGAGCACUAAUCUUUGGUAAUCUGAUGGCA